GAACUAAAGCUAGCCCAAACACUAAAACAAACCUGUGAAAACAAUAAUUAAUUAAUUAACCAAAACAUUUAUUCACACUAAAGUAUAGGAGAUAGAAAUUUUAAGUCUGGAGCUAUAGAGAAAGUACCGUAAGGGAAUGAGUGAAAGAAAUAUUAAAAGUAUUAAACAGCAAAGAUUACCCCUUGUACCUUUUGCAUAAUGAUUUAACUAGAAAAAACCUAGCAUAGCGACCUUAAGUUAAGGCACCCCGAAACCAGACGAGCUAUCCAUGAACAGCUAAAUUGAGCAAACUCGUCUAUGUAGCAAAAUAGUGAGAAGAUUUGUGGAUAGAGGUGAAAAGCCAAUCGAGCCUGGUGAUAGCUGGUUGUCCAGCCCAGAAUUUAAGUUCAACUUUAAAUUUACCGCCCAAAUCACCAAUUUAUAUGUAAAUUUAAAUGUUAAUCUAAAGAGGAACAGCUCUUUAGACCAAGGAUACAACCUUUAUUAGAGAGUAAAUCAAACUGAUAACCAUAGUUGGCCUAAAAGCAGCCAUCAAUUAAGAAAGCGUUCAAGCUCAACAACCAAAUUUAAACUUUAAUAUAAAAAACCUGAAUCAACUCCUAAUACUAUCUACUGGACUAAUCUAUAAUAAUAUAGAAGAAAUACUGUUAAUAUGAGUAACAAGAUAUUAAUCUCCAAGCGCAAGCUUAUGUCAGAUCAAAUAAUAACUGAUAGUUAACAGACAAAAAAAUUUAAACCAAAAACUAGCCAUUUAUCUUAUUAACUGUUAAUCCGACACAGGAGCGCACUAUUAUAAAAGGAAAGAUUAAAAGAAGUAAAAGGAACUCGGCAAACACAAACCCCGCCUGUUUACCAAAAACAUCACCUCUAGCAUGACUAGUAUUAGAGGCACUGCCUGCCCAGUGACAACUGUUAAACGGCCGCGGUAUCCUGACCGUGCAAAGGUAGCAUAAUCAUUUGUUCCUUAAAUAGGGACUUGCAUGAAUGGCCACACGAGGGUUUAACUGUCUCUUACUUCCAAUCAGUGAAAUUGACCUUUCCGUGAAGAGGCGGAAAUAAACAAAUAAGACGAGAAGACCCUAUGGAGCUUUAAUUAAUUCAUCCAACAGAAAUUAAACAAACCCGAAAGGACUAACAAUUUAUCUAACUGGAUGUAUAAUUUUGGUUGGGGUGACCUCGGAGCAUAAAUCAACCUCCGAGACUUAACCACUAAGACCUACAAGUCAAAGUGAAAUUUUUAAAUGAUCCAGUCUUACUGAUCAACGGAACAAGUUACCCUAGGGAUAACAGCGCAAUCCUAUUCAAGAGUCCAUAUCGACAAUAGGGUUUACGACCUCGAUGUUGGAUCAGGACAUCCCAAUGGUGCAGAAGCUAUUAAUGGUUCGUUUGUUCAACGAUUAAAGUCCUACGUGAUCUGAGUUCAGACCGGAGUAAUCCAGGUCGGUUUCUAUCUAUCAAACACUUCUCCCAGUACGAAAGGACAAGAGAAGUAGGGCCAACCCACAAAUGAGCGCCCUCAAGUAAAUAAAUGAUAACAUCUUAAUUUAAGUAACUUACUACAAAAUAACUUUAGACCAAAGUUU
rnacentral:rRNA from 1 species